AACGAACGCUGGCGGCAGGCUUAACACAUGCAAGUCGAGCGCCCCGCAAGGGGAGCGGCAGACGGGUGAGUAACACGUGGGAAUCUACCCAUCCCUACGGAACAACUCCGGGAAACUGGAGCUAAUACCGUAUACGCCCUCUGGGGAAAGAUUUAUCGGGAAUGGAUGAGCCCGCGUCGGAUUAGCUAGUUGGUGGGGUAAAGGCCUACCAAGGCGACGAUCCGUAGCUGGUCUGAGAGGAUGAUCAGCCACACUGGGACCGAGACACGGCCCAGACUCCUACGGGAGGCAGCAGUGGGGAAUAUUGGACAAUGGGCGCAAGCCUGAUCCAGCCAUGCCGCGUGAGUGAUGAAGGCCUUAGGGUUGUAAAGCUCUUUCGCCAGGGACGAUAAUGACGGCACCUGGAUAAGAAGCCCCGGCUAACUUCGUGCCAGCAGCCGCCGUAACAC
rnacentral:rRNA from 1 species